rnacentral:rRNA from 1 species
GAUGAACGCUAGCGGGAGGCUUAACACAUGCAAGUCGAGGGGCAUCACGAGGUAGCAAUACUUUGGCGGCGACCGGCGCACGGGUGAGUAACACGUAUGCAACCUACCCUGUACAGGGGGAUAACCCGGAGAAAUUCGGACUAAUAUUCCAUAAUGAUAUUUUAGGGCAUCCUUUAAUAUUUAAAGCUUUGGCGGUACAGGAUGGGCAUGCGCAACAUUAGCUAGUUGGGAGGGUAACGGCCUACCAAGGCUAUGAUGUUUAGGGGACCUGAGAGGGUGAUCCCCCCACACUGGUACUGAGACACGGACCAGACCCCUACGGGAGGCAGCAGUGAGGAAUAUUGGUCAAUGGGCGGAAGCCUGAACCAGCCAUCCCGCGUGCAGGAAGACAGCCCUAUGGGUUGUAAACUGCUUUUCCAGUGGGCGAACCCCUCGUACGUGUACGGGAUUGACGGUACACUGGGAAUAAGCAUCGGCUAACUCCGUG